rnacentral:rRNA from 1 species
GACGAACGCUGGCGGCGUGCCUAAUACAUGCAAGUCGAGCGCAGGAAAUCGACGGAACCCUUCGGGGGGAAGUCGACGGAAUGAGCGGCGGACGGGUGAGUAACACGUAAAGAACCUGCCCUCAGGUCUGGGAUAACCACGAGAAAUCGGGGCUAAUACCGGAUGGGUCAUCGGACCGCAUGGUCCGAGGAUGAAAGGCGCUUCGGCGUCGCCUGGGGAUGGCUGUGCGGUGCAUUAGCUAGUUGGUGGGGUAAUGGCCCACCAAGGCGACGAUGCAUAGCCGACCUGAGAGGGUGAUCGGCCACACUGGGACGGAGACACGGCCCAGACUCCUACGGGAGGCAGCAGUAGGGAAUCUUCCACAAUGGACGAAAGUCUGAUGGAGCAACGCCGCGUGAACGAUGAAGGCCUUCGGGUCGUAAAGUUCUGUUGUAAGGGAAGAACAAGUGCCGCAGGCAAUGGCGGCACCUUGACGGUACCUUGCGAGAAAGCCACGGCUAACUACGUGCCAGCCGCCGCGGUAAGAC